GGUUGUGAACUGUGGGGACAAUCUCCCCCUGCAGAUCCAGCCACGGCAGUUGCCGAAAAACUAUUCAAUGAGAAGGAG
rnacentral:ncRNA from 1 species